rnacentral:tRNA from 1 species
GGUUCUAUAGUGUAGUGGUUUAGCACUCGGGAUUUUGAUCUCGAGUCAGUCUUCCCGCGACGCGAGUUCGAAUCUCGCUAGGACCU